rnacentral:rRNA from 1 species
UGGCGGACGGGUGAGUAAUGUCUGGGAAACUGCCUGAUGGAGGGGGAUAACUACUGGAAACGGUAGCUAAUACCGCAUAACGUCGCAAGACCAAAGAGGGGGACCUUAGGGCCUCUUGCCAUCGGAUGUGCCCAGAUGGGAUUAGCUAGUAGGUGGGGUAACGGCUCACCUAGGCGACGAUCCCUAGCUGGUCUGAGAGGAUGACCAGCCACACUGGAACUGAGACACGGUCCAG